rnacentral:rRNA from 1 species
GAUGAACGCUGGCGGCGUGCCUAAUACAUGCAAGUCGAACGCUUUGUAAAGGAGCUUGCUUCUUUACAGGGAGUGGCGAACGGGUGAGUAAUACAUAAGCAAUCUGCCCAUCGGCCUGGGAUAACAGUUGGAAACGACUGCUAAUACCGGAUAGGUGAUUGAGAGGCAUCUCUCGAUCAUUAAAGUUGGGAUACAACACGGAUGGAUGAGCUUAUGGCGUAUUAGCUAGUAGGUGAGGUAACGGCUCACCUAGGCGAUGAUACGUAGCCGACCUGAGAGGGUGACCGGCCACAUUGGGACUGAGACACGGCCCAAACUCCUACGGGAGGCAGCAGUAGGGAAUUUUCGGCAAUGGGCGAAAGCCUGACCGAGCAACGCCGCGUGAGUGAAGAAGGCCUUCGGGUUGUAAAGCUCUGUUGUGAAGGAAGAACGGCUCAUACAGGGAAUGGUGGGGGAGUGACGGUACUUUACCAGAAAGCCACGGCUAACUACGUGCCAGCAGCCGCGGUAAUACGUAGGUGGCGAGCGUUAUCCGGAAUUAUUGGGCGUAAAGGGUGCGCAGGCGGUUUGUUAAGUUUAAGGUGAAAGCGUGGGGCUUAACCCCAUAUAGCCUUAGAAACUGACAGACUAGAGUACAGGAGAGGGCAAUGGAAUUC